rnacentral:snRNA from 1 species
UUCGCACAAUUGGUCAUCGC